AGUCGAAACUACUAGGUCUAUCCUAGUAGUCCGCAGAGGAAUAGCCGCCCUGCGCUGAUGAGACAGGCUAAU
rnacentral:hammerhead_ribozyme from 1 species